rnacentral:misc_RNA from 1 species
GGAAAAAAGUCCACCUAAAAGAUUUAAGAGAGACAUCAGACUUUCAGAACUACAUCCUGCUUCUCAAAAUUGAUGGGUAGUCCAAGUUCAAAGAAGUGCAUUCGAAUUCAGAAAAAUAUGUUCAUUAUUCCUCAUCAGCAGGUUAUUUGCAGCAAUCAUCUCCCGUUCUUGUGAAAGCAAUAAGCUUAAUACAACUUACCCAACAUAUUGACUUCACCUCGUUGGUGACUUCAACUGAAGGUAAGACUCACUAAAAUAUUACCAAAAUUUAUACCCUCCUUGUAAGUCCAAGGAACACCACAGCAGACGCAAUCUGAACUCUUAAAUCUGCAAUAUCAACAUCAUGACCACCUUCAACAAGACCCCAAUUGUCAACCUGCAAAUCUUCCUCAAGCCUAAUUAACUCAAUAGCUUCCUCAAUCCCCAAUCUACCACGGAAAAUUCCAAGUGCAAUGACUAAAGAAUGUGCAGCUGAAGCAAUUGCAUCAAUGGUUGCCAAUUCACAAUCAUCUGUUUUCUUGAGAACGCUUCCGAUGGCACUAACAAGACCAUCAUCUUGCUUUCCACCAAAAAAACUGGUGUGUACAGUGGGUUUGAAGCCGAAUUCUGACUCUACCCACUUAAGAAGGGGAUCAAUUUUCUCUACUUGACGCUCAAGAACUCCG